GUGUCUCUCCAAAAAUUUUUAAAAGGAUGGUAGGUUGGUGAAGGUUUUUUUUUAUUUUUUUUUUUAUUUAUUUUAUUUUUUUUUUUUUUUUUAUUUAUUUUUUUUUUUUUUUUUAUUUUGGUCUAUUUGUGUUCUAUUUUAUUGUUUCUUUUGGUCAAGGGUCCAUGGUCAUGGUAACCCUGAGUUCAAGAGGCUUUGAAAAUAAAAUAAUAUAUAUAUUUAUGUACAUAUGUAUUAAUUUUUUAUUUGUAUUAUUUUGUUUAUAGGUUUAGUUGUUUCCUAUUGGUCCAGGUUCCAUGGUCAUGGUAGCCCAAAGAGAAGAAAAGAAAUUGGGAUAUUUUGUUAAAUAUAAAUUGGUUCCCUAGUGAUUAUUGUUGCAGGAUCCAAGGGAUCAAUAAAGAUAAUUAUAAAGUACAUUUUUAAGAGUCUGUAGUCAUUGUAGCUCUCAAAUACUAUAAAAGAACUAUUUUAUGGUCAUAAUGGCCACCUUUAUAUACCUAGGGGAGCCUACUGGUAAAAGGGCCGAUGGCUAAGUAUUAGUGUCUGUCUGUCAGCAGGGUUGGGACCAAGAAUGAGGUGGGGGGGGCACACAUGCAUACACACAUGAACAUGAAAGGGGAUGUGCCUAUACACAUAUUUUUUACAUAUACAAAAGCAUAAACAUACAACAGAUAGCAUACAACGGGACACAAUACAUUGUAAGGGACAGACAGGGUUAACAACAUGAGGUCAGGUACAGAUACAUGUACACACACACACAUACACAGAGGGGUUGGAACUGGGGUUGCAGUUCGGGUUAGGGGCCAGGGCUAAGGUGUGGGGAAUUGUAUAGGAGAAGUGGACUCUUUGCUUUUGGGGUGCUGUUUGGGUUGUGGGUAUCCGAGAGGUACCAGGUGAAUUUUAAGUAGGACUAGAAGUCCUGGGGGUCAAGAGGAGCCAUACGUGGAGUUCCUGUGAUGUGUAGAAGUAAGAUAGAUCCUCCUAUGAAAAGUGUGUAUUUGACCUACGUGUCACCAUUGACUUGUGUGUUAGCGUUGGGAGCGGUCUGCUCUGGUAGGGGUUUGGGGUUGGAAAUACCCGAAGGUAAGGUUCUGUGGGUCCAGGAAAGGUAGAGGGUAGAGUGGACAUCUGUGGGUUCCUAUAGAAUUUUUAGUUGGGUUCUGGGUAACCCAUAGGUCUGGUGAUAGGUCUUUGAAUGUGGUUUAGUUAUUUUUCCUCCGAUUUUUGUUGAGUCACGUUGCUUAUAUGCAGUAAGGUGCGAUGUGCAGGGAAAAGUAGUGGCCGUGGUUUUUAGGUCUUUUUGUGGUGUUAGAGGGCAUGAACCUUGUUUCUUUAUUAAGGGGUAGUGGCAGAUAGGAUAACUAGGGGGGUGUUCCUUUAACCCGGAUCGAAAAUGGUGCUGUUUUUAUCUUUUCUAGUUGGCGCUUGUUAGCGGAGUUUUAGCUUUGAUCGCGUUCGUGUCCACUUGGGUUCCCGGAUAUGCGGUAGAUUUGGCUGUUUUGCGGUGUUCAAGUCCACUUGGAUUAUGGGAUGUACGGAUCCGAAAAAGCUUUUUGUUGCUGUUUUUUUUUUUUAUAUGGGUGGGGGUCUAACCUAGGUUUUGGUGUGAGUGUGGUGGGCCUAUAAUGUAAUUUGUAUCAUUUUUUGCCUGUUGGAGAUACGUUCGUCAGGAUGGGUAAAAAGUCUCUUACACCUGUGUCAGUGUAGUAAGUCCAGUUCUUUGUUGAAAAAAAGUCUUUCCCUUUAGCUGAAAAAGGGUAGUGUCUUGAGAAAAAAACCUUUAUCUUGAGUAAAAAAAGGUGGUAUCUUUGAGAAAAUCCUCUUUAGUUGAAAAAGGUAAAAUCUUGGAGAAGAAGUCUUCUUUCGUUGAAAAAAUGGAGGGGGUAGUGUUCAUCAAAAAAAAGUUUUUGAGUAUGUUGUAGUAGAGUCCAGGUUCUUUAGUAAAAAGUAAGAAAUAAAAAGUAAAAAAUGCUUUUGAGUUGAAAAAAAGUAGAGUAGGUAGUGUACAUCCAGGGGUCAGGAGUAGAGUAGGGUUAUUUUAGUUGGUAUAUAAUCUAAUGAUUAUUUUUAACCUAUUCACCAUCAAACCAAUCCUGAGGGUGCAAGGGUGGAGAAAAAACCUUUGUAUAAGGCUGGAUUUGGGAGGAUCCCAGUGAGUGUAAGGGAUAAAAAGUCCUUGGCUUGCUGCGUCCAUACCCUACAUCCGGCAACGCAGCGGUGACUCGCCAAGUGUUUGGUUUCUAGUUUUGAGUCGGUUGAUCCACUUCCAUCUCUGACACGUGGAAACCGGAGGGGGGAAGGGAGGGGUUGCACUCCACAUCAUAUACGCGCGGGUCGGAGGGUACGGGCGCGGCCGGCCAAAGUCGCAGGCCCCAUGGUAGCCCACUUGUAGAUUAACCCGUUGGUUGGGUUAAAGGACUGUCUGUCUGUAGGGUUAGGGUUGGGUUAGGGUUAGGGUUAGGGUUAGGGUUAGGGUUAGGGUUAGGGUUAGGGUUAGGGUUAGGGUUAGGGUUAGGGUUAGGGUUAGGGUUAG
ensembl:lncRNA